rnacentral:lncRNA from 1 species
AAAAAGGAAAAUUUCUAUUAUAGAAUGUGGAUUGAAAUUUGAGAAUGCCAAAGCAUAUGGGCAUUAGCUGAUAUAUUAUUGACUUGAAUUCCUUGUGUGAUUGUGUUUUAUUUAUUUCACCCGUAUAGUUAUGAUAAUUGAGGUGAUUAUGUAUUAUGUUCAUAUUGAUUGAUUGAGAUGCAUCAUCAUCCCCUCUAUUGAAAUAAUAUUGUGCACAUGCAUAGACAUGAGACUGAGUAUAAGUUGGGCACGUGGAGAUCGUCCGUGCUGGGGAUGGUGAGAUAUUAAGAUUGUAAUUUGGGCACGUAGAGACCGUUCGUGCGAAAAAUUGUUUGAUAUUAUGAUAGUGCGUUGAGAUCGUCCGCACAGACACGUGGAGAUCGUCCGUGUCGGUAUAUGGACCUCGCGAGUCCUCCAUGGGUCAUGAACUCUCGAUGUAUUUCCGAGGAGUAUCAUGUAUAUACGGUUGAGUGUGUACUGGAUAUUCUGAGACAAUUCAUUACAUGGUGUUAUAUUGCAUUGCAUUUCAUCACAUCAUUUAUUUUGAUGAUUAUGUGUUUUGUUUGAUGUUUGGAAAAUACUUGAUGCUUGAUUACCUUUAUUGAUGAAACCUAAAUAGUGAGUGUAAUAUAUAUAUAUAUAUA